GGCCUAUUAGUUCAGUUGGUUAGAGCGUUGUGCUAAUAACACGAAGGACGUAGGUUCGAGACUUGCAUGGGCCA